UGGCCGCGCGAACCCCGGACUCCUGCCCAGACCCCAUGGCAGGCGGACCAUAAAGCGCUGACAUAAAUCACGGCAAGCCGACAGUGAGCCCCAGCCUAAUCCAGCCGAGACACGGCAGUAGGUCACUCGGAGCAGUUGUUAUAUAAACAAGUUAACUACACGAUCGCCAAGAAACUGGUAUUCCAAGCAGAGUCGAGAGCUGUAGAGCUGGAGAGCUCGAGCCACUCGCGGAUUCGCCUUUUUAAUUAUACAAAAUGUAACGCUUGCGUUGGCGUUCCUCAAACUUCGUGGCAAAACAAAGCAUUCUGAGAAUGUUGUGGCAGCCGCCAACCCACAGAUGAGAGAACGAACCGGAGACAGAAUGUUGCGGGGGCAAUGCUCAUACAUAAGGCCAUUAUUCAUCAUUCAUGGCAGCAGGCGUUGCAUUCAACACAAACAUUAGAGCAUUACAUUGGCCAGACAAUAUUUUGAUGGCUAACAAACCACAAAUUAACCAAUUAAUAGGCGAUGCAUCAAAAGGGAAAGGCCAGAAGGCUCACUCCACAUGGCCUAGCCGAGUUCCCAGCGUUCGGAUGAUACGCCAACCCAGCAACUCGAAACGAACAUUAUUAUGAUGACCCCUUCCGCCUGGGUGGAUGCUGCGUCGAAGUGCUAAAAGUUCGACAGGGAGAAGCUCCGACUUUCGGCUCAGCAGAGCUCCGCCAUAACGCUGGCACUUUUCCCAGGCAAAUG